AGAGUUUGAUCCUGGCUCAGGAUGAACGCUGGCGGCGUGCUUAACACAUGCAAGUCGAACGGAGUGUAAACGCUGAAGCGAUUUCGGUCAAUUCUUGUUUAUACUUAGUGGCGGACGGGUGAGUAACGCGUGGGUAACCUGCCGUAUGCAGGGGGACAACAGUUGGAAACGACUGCUAAUACCGCAUAAGCGCACAGUAUCGCAUGGUACAGUGUGAAAAGAUUUAUCGGCAUACGAUGGACCCGCGUCUGAUUAGCUAGUUGGUGAGGUAACGGCCCACCAAGGCGACGAUCAGUAGCCGGCCUGAGAGGGUGAACGGCCACAUUGGGACUGAGACACGGCCCAAACUCCUACGGGAGGCAGCAGUGGGGAAUAUUGGACAAUGGGGGAAACCCUGAUCCAGCGACGCCGCGUGAGUGAAGAAGUAUUUCGGUAUGUAAAGCUCUAUCAGCAAGGAAGAAAAUGACGGUACUUGACUAAGAAGCUCCGGCUAAAUACGUGCCAGCAGCCGCGGUAAUACGUAUGGAGCAAGCGUUAUCCGGAUUUACU
rnacentral:rRNA from 1 species